UACGGGGGGGGUAAGCGUUGUUCGGAAUUACUGGGCGUAAAGGGCACGUAGGCGGCCAACUAAGUCAGACGUGAAAUCCCUCAGCUUAACUGGGGAACUGCGUCUGAUACUGGAUGGCUUGGAUUCGGGAGAGGAAUGCGGAAUUCCAGGUGUAGCGGUGAAAUGCGUAGAUAUCUGGAGGAACACCGGUGGCGAAGGCGGCAUUCUGGACCGAUAUUGACGCUGAGGAGCGAAAGCCAGGGGAGCAAACGGG
rnacentral:rRNA from 1 species